GUCCUCUUUUAUUGGUUUUGUGGACUGAGAUAAUGGUUAACAGGGACAAACGGGGGCAUUCGUAUCGCUGCGUGAGAGGUGAAAUUCUUGGACCGUAGCGAGACGCCCUACUGCGAAAGCAUUUGCCAAGAAUGUCUUCAUUAAUCAAGAACGAAAGUCAGAGGUUCGAAGGCGAUCAGAUACCGCCCUAGUUCUGACCGUAAACGAUGCCAACUAGCGAUCCGCCGGUGGAUUUUUAGCCCUGGUGGGUAGCUUCCCGGAAACGAAAGUCUUCCGGUUCCGGGGGAAGUAUGGUUGCAAAGCUGAAACUUAAAGGAAUUGACGGAAGGGCACCACCAGGAGUGGAGCCUGCGGCUUAAUUUGACUCAACACGGGGAAACUCACCCGGCCCGGACACCGUAAGGAUUGACAGAUUGAUAGCUCUUUCAUGAUUCGGUGGUUGGUGGUGCAUGGCCGUUCUUAGUUCGUGGAUCGAUUUGUCUGGUUUAUUCCGAUAACGAGCGAGACUCUAGCCUACUAAAUAGUAACGAGAUUGCCAUUGUCUUAGUUGCUUCUUAGAGGGAUUUUCGGUGUUUAGCCGCACGAGAUUGAGCAAUAACAGGUCUGUGAUGCCCUUAGAUGUCCGGGGCUGCACGCGCGCUACACUGGCGAAAUCAGCGUGCUGUAUCCAUUCUCGAAAGGGAUUGGUAAACCCAUGAAAAUUUGCCGUGCUUGGGAUCGGAAAUUGCAAUUAUUUUCCGUGAACGAGGAAUCCAAGUAAGUGCGAGUCAUCAGUCGUCUUCCA
rnacentral:rRNA from 1 species